UCCUGGCUCAGGAUGAACGCUAGCGGCAGGCUUAAUACAUGCAAGUCGUGGGGCAGCACAGGGUAGCAAUACUUGGGUGGCGACCGGCAAACGGGUGCGGAACACGUACGCAACCUUCCUUCAGGCGGGGAAUAGCCCAGAGAAAUUUGGAUUAAUACCCCAUAAGAUUUUGAGAUGGCAUCAUCUUAUUAUUAAAGAUUUAUCACCUGAAGAUGGGCGUGCGGCUGAUUAGGUAGUUGGCGGGGUAACGGCCCACCAAGCCUACGAUCAGUAGCUGAUGUGAGAGCAUGAUCAGCCACACGGGCACUGAGACACGGGCCCGACUCCUACGGGAGGCAGCAGUAAGGAAUAUUGGUCAAUGGACGCAAGUCUGAACCAGCCAUGCCGCGUGGAGGAUGAAGGUCCUCUGGAUUGUAAACUUCUUUUAUCUGGGACGAAAAAAGGGUUUUCUAACUCGUCUGACGGUACCAGAUGAAUAAGCACCGGCUAACUCCGUG
rnacentral:rRNA from 1 species